UCUAAGUGGAGUAGAAUAAAGCGAAACUGCGAACGGCUCAUUAUAACAGAUAUAACUUACGGGUUCUAUUCAUUCUAUAUGGAUAACUGCGGUAAUUCUGGAGCUAAUACAUGCAUCAAUAUGUUUUCUAGCAAUAGUUAACAUAGCAAUUAUUGGAGCAAAAUCAAUCAUCUGUUUUUUGCUAACUCUGGAUAAUUCUGCUUAUCGGUUUAAAUAUUAACCGAAAUAACCUUCAGGUAUCUGCUUUAUCAACUAUCGUUGGUAGUGUAUUGGACUACCAUGGUGUUAACGGGUAACGGAGAAUCAGGGUUUGACUCCGGAGAGGGAGCCUUAGAAACGGCUACCAUGUCUAAGGAUAGCAGCAGGCGCGAAAAUUACCCAAUAUCAAAGCGAUGAGGUAGUGACGAGAAAUAACGAGAUCGUUCUCUUUGAGGUCGAUUAUUGGAAUGAGUGCAAUCCAGAAAAUUCAAACGAGUACCUACGAGAGGGCAAGUCUGGUGCCAGCAGCCGCGGUAAUUCCAGCUCUCGUAAUGUAUAGAAUUAUUGUUGCGAUUAAAAAGUUCGUAGUUGGAUUGUUCAACUAUUUGUGGGUGUAACUUUGUUGCUACUCAUUAAAUAGUAUUUUGUGUUCAAUUGAAUUGAUUAAUUUUGAUUUAGUUAACACAGGAUUACUUUGAACGGCUCAAGUGCUUAAAGCGUGUCUUCGGACAGAAUACCGGUGCAUGGAAUAAUGGAAUAAGGUUGCGGCCGAGUUUUAUUGGUUUUGUCGGCUGAAACAAUGGUUAACAGGAACAGCCGGGGGCAUUCGUAUCGCUGCGCGAGAGGUGAAAUUCGUGGACCGUAGCGAGACGUGCGAAAGCGAAGGCAUUUGCCAAGAGUGUUUUCAUUAAUCGGAACGAAAGUCAGAGGUUCGAAGGCGAUUAGAUACCGCCCUAGUUCUGACCGUAAACGAUGCCAACUGUCGGCUUGUUAGUUGUGUUUUAAACAAUUAACAAGAAGGCGAGCCGGAAACGUGCAAGUGUUUCGGUUUCGGGGGAAGUAUGUUUGCAAAGAUGAAACUUAAAGGAAUUGACGGAAGGGCACCACCAGGAGUGGAGCUUGCGGCUUAAUUUGACUCAACACGGGAAAUCUCACCCGGCCAGUACAUCGUAAGGAUUGACAGAUUGAUAGCUCUUUCAUGAUUCGGUGAAUGGUGGUGCAUGGCCGUUCUUAGUUCGUGGAUUGAUUUGUCUGGUUUAUUCCGAUAACGAGCGAGACUUUGACUGUUAGAUAGUAAAUACAUUCGUUUCGUGUGUAUAUUACUUCCUAAAGGAAUUUGUGGUUUUUAACCUCAAGAAACGGAGCAAUAACAGGUCUGUGAUGCCCUUAGAUGUUCGGGGCCGCACGCGUGCUACAAUGAUGGUAGCAACAUGAUUGUCCUAAAUCGAGAGAUUGUGGCAAACCUUUGAGAUAUCUGAUUAUGGCUGGAAUUGAGUGUUGAAAUUUUCUCUCAUGAACGAGGAAUUCCAAGUAAAUGUGAGUCAUUAACUUGCAUUGAUUACGUCCCUGCCCUUUGUACACACCGCCCGUCGCUGCCCGGGACUGAGUUACUUCGAGAAAAUUAGGGAUUGAAGUUGCUUCGGUAAUUUUAAAAACUAACUUAAUCGCAGUGGCUUGAACCGGGCAAGCAA
rnacentral:rRNA from 1 species